rnacentral:siRNA from 1 species
GCAGCUUGUGUCUCUAAGUUUG